rnacentral:rRNA from 1 species
AGAGUUUGAUCAUGGCUCAGAACGAACGCUGGCGGCAGGCUUAACACAUGCAAGUCGAACGCCCGUAGCAAUACGGGAGUGGCAGACGGGUGAGUAACGCGUGGGAACGUACCCUUUGGUUCGGGAUAACCCAGGGAAACUUGGGCUAAUACCGGAUAAGCCGGAAACGGGAAAGGUUUACUGCCGAAGGAUCGGCCCGCGUCGGAUUAGCUAGUUGGUGGGGUAAAGGCCUACCAAGGCGACGAUCCGUAGCUGGUCUGAGAGGAUGAUCAGCCACACUGGGACUGAGACACGGCCCAGACUCCUACGGGAGGCAGCAGUGGGGAAUAUUGGACAAUGGGCGCAAGCCUGAUCCAGCCAUGCCGCGUGGGUGAAGAAGGCCUUAGGGUUGUAAAGCCCUUUCAGCGGGGACGAUGAUGACGGUACCCGCAGAAGAAGCUCCGGCUAACUUCGUGCCAGCAGCCGCGGUA